rfam:Alpha proteobacterium BAL199 1103548001552, whole genome shotgun sequence.
GAUCAAGCGUCUUAAGGGUGUUUGGUGGAUGCCUUGGCAUCGAGAGGCGAUGAAGGACGUGGUACGCUGCGAAAAGCCGUGGGGAGUUGCGAACAAACUUUGAUCCGCGGAUAUCCGAAUGGGGAAACCCGGCUCUUUAGAGUCAUCAUUAUCUGAAUACAUAGGGUAAUGAAGCGAACCCGGCGAACUGAAAUAUCUCAUUAGCCGGAGGAAAGGACAUCAACCGAGACUCCGUUAGUAGUGACGAGCGAACGCGGACCAGGCCAGUGGCGCGCAUGGAUCAACCGGAACCGUCUGGAAAGUCGGGCCAUAGUGGGUGACAGCCCCGUAUGGGUACGGUCUGUGUGCGUCCUCGAGUAGGGCGGGGCACGUGAAACCCUGUCUGAACAUGGGGGGACCACCCUCCAAGCCUAAGUACUCCUCGAUGACCGAUAGUGAACCAGUACCGUGAGGGAAAGGUGAAAAGCACCCCGAUAAGGGGAGUGAAAUAGACCUGAAACCGAACACCUACAAGCAGUCGGAGCCUCCAAUAUCUUCGGAUGGGCGGGGUGACGGCGUACCUUUUGUAUAAUGGGUCAGCGAGUUGGUCUAUCGAGCAAGCCUAAGCCGUUAGGUGGAGGCGCAGCGAAAGCGAGUCUUAAUAGGGCGUCGAGUUCGAUGGAUCAGACCCGAAACCGGGUGAUCUAGCCAUGGGCAGGCUGAAGGUGCGGUAACACGCACUGGAGGGCCGAACCCACCUCUGUUGAAAAAGCGGGGGAUGACCUGUGGCUAGGGGUGAAAGGCCAAUCAAACUCGGAGAUAGCUGGUUCUCCGCGAAAGCUAUUUAGGUAGCGCGUUGCGUGAUGACCGCCGGGGGUAGAGCACUGGAUGGGCUAGGGGGGCGCGAGCCUUACCAAACCUAACCAAACUCCGAAUACCGGUGAGUUUAACGUGGCAGACAGACCAUGGGUGCUAAGGUCCGUGGUCGAGAGGGAAACAGCCCAGACCUCCAGCUAAGGCCCCCAAGUGGCGGCUAAGUGGGAAAGGAUGUGGGAAGGCCAUGACAACCAGGAGGUUGGCUUAGAAGCAGCCAUCCUUUAAAGAAAGCGUAAUAGCUCACUGGUCUAGAUAAGCCGGCCUGCGCCGAAGAUGUACCGGGGCUCAAGCCGCCCGCCGAAGCUGAGGAUGCCGAAAGGCAUGGUAGCGGAGCGUUCCGUAAGCCUGUGAAGGGAGCGUCGUAAGGCCUCCUGGAGGUAUCGGAAGUGAGAAUGCUGACAUGAGUAGCGAUAAAGAGUGUGAGAAACACUCUCGCCGAAAGCCCAAGGGUUCCUGCGCAAGGCUAAUCCGCGCAGGGUGAGUCGGCCCCUAAGACGAGGGCGAAAGCCGUAGUCGAUGGGAACCAGGUUAAUAUUCCUGGACCCGGUGGACGUGACGAACGUGAAACGGUGUCUUCUCUUAUCGGAUUGAGGGGGCAGCUGGAUCGUUCCAGGAAAUAGCGCCACCGUAGGACCGUACCCCAAACCGACACAGGUGGGCAGGUAGAGUAUACCAAGGCGCUUGAGGGAACGGUGUUGAAGGAACUCGGCAAAAUCCCCCCGUAACUUCGGGAGAAGGGGGACCUCCAUUUGGGCAACCAGAUGGGGGUGGCACAGAGUAGGGGGUGGCGACUGUUUACUAAAAACACAGGGCUCUGCGAAGUCGACAAGACGACGUAUAGGGUCUGACGCCUGCCCGGUGCCGGAAGGUUAAGAGGAGAGGUGCAAGCUUCGAAUUGAAGCCCCGGUAAACGGCGGCCGUAACUAUAACGGUCCUAAGGUAGCGAAAUUCCUUGUCGGGUAAGUUCCGACCUGCACGAAUGGCGUAACGACUUCCCCGCUGUCUCCAACACCGGCUCAGCGAAAUUGAAUUCUCCGUGAAGAUGCGGAGUACCCGCGGUCAGACGGAAAGACCCCGUGCACCUUUACUACAGCUUUGCAGUGGCACCAGAAUGUGGAUGUGUAGGAUAGGCGGGAGGCUUUGAAGCGAGGGCGCCAGUUCUCGUGGAGCCAUCCUUGAAAUACCGCCCUUCGAUGUUUUGGUGUCUAACCGCGGCCCGUUAUCCGGGUCCGGGACCCUGCAUGGCGGGUAGUUUGACUGGGGCGGUCGCCUCCCAAAGAGUAACGGAGGCGCACGAUGGUAGGCUCAAGCUGGUCGGACAUCAGCUGUUGAGUGCAAUGGCAUAAGCCUGCCUGACUGCGAGGCCGACGGGCCGAGCAGAGACGAAAGUCGGUCAUAGUGAUCCGGUGGUCCCGCGUGGAAGGGCCAUCGCUCAACGGAUAAAAGGUACGCCGGGGAUAACAGGCUGAUACCCCCCAAGAGUCCACAUCGACGGGGGUGUUUGGCACCUCGAUGUCGGCUCAUCACAUCCUGGGGCUGGAGCAGGUCCCAAGGGUUCGGCUGUUCGCCGAUUAAAGUGGUACGUGAGCUGGGUUUAGAACGUCGUGAGACAGUUCGGUCCCUAUCUGCCGUGGGUGUACGAGUCUUGAGAGGAGCUGUCCCUAGUACGAGAGGACCGGGAUGGACGCGCCUCUGGUGGACCGGUUGUGGCGCCAGCCGCAUUGCCGGGUAGCUAUGCGCGGACGGGAUAACCGCUGAAAGCAUCUAAGCGGGAAGCCCCCCUCAAAACCAGGACUCGCUGAGAACCGUGGAAGACCACCACGUCGAUAGGCUGGGUGUGGAAGCGUGGCAACACGUGAAGCUUACCAGUACUAAUCGUUCGAUAGGCUUGAUCAA